AUUGAACGCUGGCGGCAUGCUUUACACAUGCAAGUCGGACGGCAGCACAGAGAAGCUUGCUUCUUGGGUGGCGAGUGGCGAACGGGUGAGUAACAUAUCGGAACGUACCGGGCAGUGGGGGAUAACUAAUCGAAAGAUUAGCUAAUACCGCAUAUUUUCUGAGGAAGAAAGCAGGGGACCAUUUGGCCUUGCGCUGUUUGAGCGGCCGAUAUCUGAUUAGCUGGUUGGUGGGGUAAAGGCCUACCAAGGCGACGAUCAGUAGCGGGUCUGAGAGGAUGAUCCGCCACACUGGGACUGAGACACGGCCCAGACUCCUACGGGAGGCAGCAGUGGGGAAUUUUGGACAAUGGGCGCAAGCCUGAUCCAGCCAUGCCGCGUGUCUGAAGAAGGCCUUUCGGGUUGUAAAGGACUUUUGUCCAGGGAAGAAAAGGGCGGGGCUAAUACCCCUGUCUGAUGACGGUACCUGAAGAAUAAGCACCGGCUAACUAC
rnacentral:rRNA from 1 species